GAUGAACGCUGGCGGCGUGCCUAAUACAUGCAAGUCGAGCGAACAGACGCGGAGCUUGCUCCUCUGACGUUAGCGGAGCACGGGUGAGUAACACGUGGAUAACCUACCUAUAAGACUGGGAUCACUUCGGGAAACCGGCGCUAAUACCGGAUAAUCUAUUGCACCGCAUGGUUCAAUAGUGAAAGACGGUUUUGCUGUCACUUAUAGAUGGAUCCGCGCUGCUUUAGCUAGUUGGGAAGUUACCGGCUUACCAAGGCAACGAUGCGUAGCCGACGGGAUAGAGUGGUAGCCCACACUGGAAGGGGAACGGGGUCCAGACGACUGAGGGAGGCAGCAGUAGGGAAUCGUCCGCAGUAGGCGAAAGCCUGGCGGAGCAAGGCGGCGUGAGUGAUGAAGGUCUUGGGAUCGUAAAACUCUGUUAUGAGGGAAGAACAAAUGUGGAAGUAACUAUGCACGUCUUGACGGUACCUAAUCAGAAAGCCACGGCUAACUACGUG
rnacentral:rRNA from 1 species